GAUGAAGAACGUAGCGAAAUGCGAUAAGUAAUGUGAAUUGCAGAAUUCAGUGAAUCAUCGAAUCUUUGAACGCACAUUGCGCCCGCUAGUAUUCUGGCGGGCAUGCCUGUCCGAGCGUCAUUUCAACCCUCAAGCCCCCGGGCUUGGUGUUGGGGAUCGGCGAGCCUCCGCGCCCGCCGUCCCCUAAAUCUAGUGGCGGUCUCGCUGUAGCUUCCUCUGCGUAGUAGCACACCUCGCACUGGCAAACAGCGCGGCCACGCCGUUAAACCCCCAACUUCUGAACGUUUGACCUCGGAUCAGGUAGGAAUACCCGCUGAACUUAAGCAUAUCAAUAAGCGGAGGA
rnacentral:misc_RNA from 1 species